UCUUAUAUUUGAUUUAUAUCUCUGAUUCCAUCCAUAAUGGCAAUAAAAUCAUCCAUUGUUUCUCAGUCUUAUAGAUUCUAACUCAACAAAAUAUUAAUCAAUUCAAUCUUCUAUGGGAUGAGGUUAUCUUCUCGCACAGGUUAGAUCUAAGUUUGUGGACAUUUAAUUCAAUAUCAAUUGUAGUAGUUUGCAUUUUUUGAUCACUGAUUUUUCUUUUUCUUGUUAAAAUAUAAAGACAUUCUAACUCAACAAAAUAUUAAUGAAUUCAAUCUUCUUUGGGCUGAGGUACCUUCUCGCGCAAGUUAGAUCUAAGUUUGUGGACAUUUAAUUCAAUAUCAAUUGUAGUAGUUUGCAUUUUUGAUCACUGAUUUUUCUUUUUCCUGUUAAAAUAUAAAGACAGUCUAACUCAACAAAAUAUUAAUCAAUUCAAUCUUCUUUGGGAUGAGGUUACCUUCUCGUGCAGGCAAAUAUUGGCAUUGUUAUCCUUAGCAUGUCGAUAAAGUACUCCUACAACUGUUGUAUUAUUCUAGAUGAAACAUCUCUAUGAAACUAUGAAGAAUGAAACUAUGUUAAAAGGUGUCUAUAUAUUUGUUAACUUCCAGGGUGAUGGAGAACUUUUAUGUGUCUUUCCAGUUUGGAAAUGGCGCAACAAGGGGAAAAUCCAAAGCACUUUGAGGGGAGCUAAUAGCAAAGUUUGACAUAAUGGUGAACUACUGCUCUUUUGCAGGCUGAAGUUCUGGAACCGUAUCCUGAACUUCUGGAAAGUCAAUCCCUUGACAUGUGUUAGUGGCAUAUAUUCCCUAAACAAAUUCACAAUUCUUAGUGAAAGAUAUUUCUCCUUGCACCCAUACCCCAGUUGGACUAUGACAAUCCAACAAGUGGGUGACAAGAUUGUAUGGCCACCUCUAAUUCAUUAAAAAACUAUGCAUAUGAUGGAUUAUAGGUAUACAUGUGAGCUAAAAUGGGAACAUUACCCACUUAGGUUAUCUAAACUUUCUUCGCAUAAAAUUGUAUUGUUCUACUAUCUUACAAGAUUCAUUGUUCUGGAAGAGUCUGAGCAGCAGGGAGCCAACAUCUACAAGCGUGCAAAUGUGACUGUUAUGAUACAUUCUUUGUAUUAUCAAUUUUAAUGGAGUCUUGAAGCUGUUCAAACUCUCCAACACUGUCGACGAACAUUGCACAAAAGUAGGAGUUUCUUGAGGCCAUGAAGUGGAAUCAAUAUGUAGUACUCAACGAUGAAGAGGUCAUCAAAUGGUACCGCUUAACCAGGCAUAAACAUAAACGAUGGGCUUCUAUAUGAAAUAUGGGCAGAAAAACCCCGGAUGAGGAUAAUCCUUUAGAUGAAGAGGGCACGAGGACCAGUAACGUACCCUGAUCUAAUAAUCAGUAUCGGGAUAUAACAUCACAUUCAAAGGUACAUCGUUCGUUAGGCAUGAUGGAUGUCAAAUGCAGACACUGUGGACCACUACUCUGGAUCUGACGGAGUGAUUUAUUCCUUGGCCGAUGAUUGAGGAAGUGGCUGCAAUAAAUGAUGUAAUUGUUCAAAUAUACCAUGGAUCAUAUCCCUCUUACACGGCAGCAGAGUAGGUGUUGGGGGAUUUGGAGGAAGGGUUGGCCAAAAAUAUGGGAGGCCCUUCUGCAAGUUUAAGAAAUAAAUCCGUUGGGGUCGAUGACAUUUAACUUCUCAAUACGCAUAACAUCUAGAAGAUAAGCUAUUAAUUCCAGAGAGCGGUGAAGGCAAUUAAUACGGAUAAUGACGUUUUCCCGGAAGUAAUUAUGUAGUCUAUGUAAAGAAUGUCUGAAGGAGAUGUCUACGUCCACCAUUGUUGGAACCCUUCAGGAGCUUAGGCAAAAAUACAAUUGCAUUUUUUUUAUUAUAUG